UACGUAGGGUCCGAGCGUUAAUCGGAAUUACUGGGCGUAAAGCGUGCGCAGGCGGUUAUGCAAGACAGAUGUGAAAUCCCCGGGCUCAACCUGGGAACUGCAUUUGUGACUGCAUGGCUAGAGUACGGUAGAGGGGGAUGGAAUUCCGAGUGUAGCAGUGAAAUGCGUAGAUAUGCGGAGGAACACCGAUGGCGAAGGCAAUCCCCUGGACCUGUACUGACGCUCAUGCACGAAAGCGUGGGGAGCAAACAGG
rnacentral:rRNA from 1 species